GAUGAACGCUAGCGGCAGGCCUAAUACAUGCAAGUCGAACGGAUCUGGGGACUUCGGUUCCCAGGUUAGUGGCGCACGGGUGCGUAACGCGUAUGCAACCUACCUUUUAUUGGGGGAUAGCCCGUCGAAAGACGGAUUAAUACCGCAUAAGAUCACUUGAGGGCAUCUGAGGGUGAUUAAAGCUACGGCGAUAGAAGAUGGGCAUGCGUGACAUUAGCCAGUUGGUUGAGGUAACGGCUCACCAAGGCGACGAUGUCUAGGGGUUCUGAGAGGAUGAUCCCCCGCACUGGUACUGAGAUACGGACCAGACUCCUACGGGAGGCAGCAGUAGGGAAUAUUGGGCAAUGGACGCAAGUCUGACCCAGCCAUGCCGCGUGCAGGAUGAAGGCCUUCUGGGUUGUAAACUGCUUUUAUCUAGGAAGAAAACACCCCUGCGGGGGGAACUGACGGUACUAGAGGAAUAAGCACCGGCUAACUCCGUGCCAGCAGCCGCGGUAAUAC
rnacentral:rRNA from 1 species